rnacentral:lncRNA from 1 species
ACCACAACACCAUUAUACUAGGCCUUAGGCGUGAUCUUGCCAGUGCCAAUAAGAAGAUCAAGGAAUUAGAGCGCCUCUAAGUUAUCUAGAUUAAACCUUGAGGCAAUGCAUCUUAGUUAUCUAUCUUUAAAUUCAGUUUAGGUUUACUAUUAUUGUCAGUUUGUUACUAUUAUCGUCAGUUUGCUACUAGUCAUUUGUAAUAAAUGCCUCAAGAUUAAUAAAGAGUAUUAUUAUUAUGUCUUGUGUGUCUCUAAUUUAUUUUUGUGCAAGAAAGCAGAAAACAAGUAUGGAGGAGAUCCCUCGACAUGCCAAACACACUUCGACUACACCACUCCACGAUUCAGGUACACACUCUGCACACUUAUUUUACACAUACUCAUAUUAUGCAGAAUACUAUUAAAAUGUUUCUAAUCAUGAUUAAUCUCACUCUCUGAUAUUUCCUGAAACUUGCAAUUAUUGAAAAAUCAUUUUAAAAACCCUGUGUUACUUAAGUCAAUAUGGAAUGUGAGAUCGUAGAGUAUGAGUUUCUUAUUCUUGAUAUCAUUGUUGCUUGGAGAAUUUAUUUCAAAAUCUUCAAAAUUGUAGCUACCAUCCUCAGUGUUUUAUAUGCCUAGUAAAACUAAAAAUAUUAAUUAUGAUUAUAAAAGCUAUCUACUCUGUAUUGAGUUUGUUCAAAAUAAGUUAGACCCUUGCUGAGAGAUUUAUCAUGCUCCUAAGAUCAAGACAUUUAUUUAGAAAGAUUCACUCUUCUGAAGUACUAUUGCAUUAGAGGCAUGGGCUAUGCAAAAAUAAAGAAAUUUCGAGGAAAUAAAAAGGAGCAAGUGCUCGAUAACCUCGCAGAAAAAAUGGACAAGUGUCCGGCAUUAGAAUUAGGGGUACCUCGGUAUCCACUUAAAAAAAAGAAAAGAAAAUGAUAGCCCAUGGUCCCUCUAAUAAGCAAUAUGCCAUUAAGAGUUGACAAAGAUCUUAAUUUCCAAAGUCUUUGAUCUAAGAGUAUGACAUUCCCCACCUCGGAUCCUGUUUUGAUCAGGCAAUAAAUACAAGGUAAGUAUGCUUGAGAAUUUUUGCAAAUUAAAACAGCCUCAGUGAGAUACAUAAAAGAUAAUGAGUGAUCUAAGAGAACCUAUGAGGAUAAAAGGUAUGCUAACUUUCUUUUCAAAAAUAUACAAAAACUCCAAGUGACAGGAUUGAAAGGAAGAAAGGAUCUCUAUUCUUAACCAUAUACUUACGUGACUAUAGUACACAGUGGAUUUUUACACCCUGCAGAUAUGAAGAAUGUUUUAAAAUACUUUACCCCAGAUAUUGUUCUUAACCAUCCUUUUCUCGAGGACGAGUAAAAGCCUAAGUAUGGGGGUAUUUGUUGACGGUUCUUAAGUAUCAAUUCUAAUUAUCAAAUAAACAAGAUAAAGGACCAAUAUGCAACCAACACCUAGAAUUAGGGUUUGAUCUGACAGAAUUUCAUGAGUUUUGUUGUUUAUCUGUUUCUGCAGGGGGUUACCAGAAAAUAAGGAAGAAAGGCCC